rnacentral:hammerhead_ribozyme from 1 species
AUCCAGAUAACGAGUCCCAAAUAGGAGGAAAUGCGCAUCCUGGAU